GACGAACGCUGGCGGCGUGCCUAAUACAUGCAAGUCGAGCGGGCCUCCGGAGGUGCUUGCACCUCCGGACGGCCAGCGGCGGACGGGUGAGUAACACGUGGGCAACCUGCCUUUGAGGCCGGGAUAACACCGGGAAACCGGUGCUAAUACCGGAUACGUCCUCUUUCGCGCCUGCGAGAGGGGAGAAAGACGGUCUUUAAGGCCGUCGCUCAAAGAGGGGCCCGCGGCGCAUUAGCUGGUUGGUGGGGCAAGGGCCUACCAAGGCGACGAUGCGUUGCCGACCUGAGAGGGUGAUCGGCCACACUGGGACUGAGACACGGCCCAGACUCCUGCGGGAGGCAGCAGUAGGGAAUCAUCCGCAAUGGGCGAAAGCCUGACGGUGCAACGCCGCGUGAGUGAGGGAGGUUUUCGGAUCGUAAAGCUCUGUUGUGAGGGAAGAACAGCAUCCGGAGGAAAUGCCGGAGGUUUGCCGGUACCUCACCAGAAAGCCCCGGCUAACUACGUGCCAGCCGCCGCGGUAACAC
rnacentral:rRNA from 1 species